rnacentral:tRNA from 1 species
GCGAAAGUAGUUUAAUGGUAGAAUGGGGCUUUGCCUAAGCUUAGAUACGAGUUCGAAUCUCGUUUUUCGCU